GUGAGGGAGAUCUGGCUGUGACAUCUGUCACCCCAUUGGUUGCCAGGGUUGAUUUGGCUGAUCAGACUGGCUAGGAGGGUGUCCCCUUCCUCCUACUCCACUCUAUAUUCAUCUCUCUGAAGCUGCAAGCUUGGUCAAAGAGAAUGACACCCCCAAUAGAGGAGGACUAUUUCUUCAGUCAAGGGUAUACGAGUAGCUGCCCUCCCCU
rnacentral:snRNA from 1 species